rnacentral:lncRNA from 1 species
GAUCCAUUUUGAGACGACAGAGCAGAAGACGCUAUAUGGAGAUUACUGACAAAUAAAAAUCUCCAACCACCUCAGAGAUCAGUCUCUCCAGUACCCAGUCAUCUGUCCAUGAAGAGUGACUUCUCUAUGGCUCAUCCUAUACACUUUAGUGAUGGAUCAGGGACCUUUGACCCCAGAAUCUCCAAGCAAACUCAGUCUCUCCAGAGAUCAGUCUCUCCAGUACCCAGUCAUCUGUCCAUGAAGAGCGACUUCUCUAUGGAUCAUCCUAUACAUUUUAGUAGUGGAUCACGGACCUUUGACCCCAGAAUCUCCAAGCAAACUCAGUCUCUCCAGAGAUCAGUCUCUCCAGUACACAGUCAUCUGUCCAUGAAGAGCGACUUCUCUAUGGAUCAUCCUAUACAUUUUAGUAGUGGAUCAGGGACCUUUGACCCCAGAAUCUCCAACCAAACUCAGUCUCUCCAGAGAUCAGUCUCUCCAGUACACAGUCAUCUGUCCAUGAAGAGCGACUUCUCUAUGGAUCAUCAAAUAUAUUUUAGUAGUGGAUCAGGGACCUUUGACCCCAGAAUCUCCAAGCAAACUCAGUCUCUCCAGAGAUCAGUCUCUCCAGUACCCAGUCAUCUGUCCAUGAAGAGCGACUUCUCUAUGGAUCAUCCUAUGCAUUUUAGUAGUGGAUCAGGGACCUUUGACCCCAGAAUCUCCAAGCAAACUCAGUCUCUCCAGAGAUCAGUCUCUCCAGUACCCAGUCAUCUGUCUAUGAAGAGUGACUUCUCUAUGGAUCAUCCCAUUUAUUUUAGUGAUGGAUCAGAGACCGUUGGAAGCAGAAUCUCCAAGCAAACUCAGUCUCUCCAGAGAUCAAUCUCUCCAGUACCCAGUCAUCUGUCCAUGAAGAGUGACUUCUCUAUGGAUCAUCCCAUUUAUUUUAGUUAUGGAUCAGGGACCGUUGACCCCAGAGGCUACUACCACACUCAGACAGCACAGUGUACUGUUCCCAGCUGUCUGUCUAUGAACAGUGACUUCUCCAUGGAUCGUCCUGUUAAUUCCAGUGGUGGAAGAUCAAUCACCUUUGACCGAAGUGGAUGGUCUACUCUGUUAGAGGAUCAUUAUCUCUCUCUCCUUUAUCUCUGUAGUGGAUGGUCUACUCUGUUAGAGGAUCAGUAUCUCUCUCUCCUUUAUCUCUGUAGUGGAUGGUCUACUCUGUCAGAGGAUCAGUAUCUCUCUCUCUCUCCUUUAUCUCUGUAGUGGAUGGUCUACUCUGUUAGAGGAUCAGUAUCUCUCUCUCCUUUAUCUCUGUAGUGGAUGGUCUACUCUGUUAGAGGAUCAGUAUCUCUCUCUCCUUUAUCUCUGUAGUGGAUGGUCUACUCUGUUAGAGGAUCAGUAUCUCUCUCUCCUUUAUCUCUGUAGUGGAUGUUCUACUCUGUUAGAGGAUCAGUAUCUCUCUCUCCUUUAUCUCUGUAGUGGAUGGUCUACUCUGUUAGAGGAUCAGUAUCUCUCUCUCCUUUAUCUCUGUAGUGGAUGGUCUACUCUGUUAGAGGAUCAUUAUCUCUCUCUCCUUUAUCUCUGUAGUGGAUGGUCUACUCUGUUAGAGGAUCAGUAUCUCUCUCUCCUUUAUCUCUGUAGUGGAUGGUCUACUCUGUUAGAGGAUCAGUAUCUCUCUCUCCUUUAUCUCUGUAGUGGAUGGUCUACUCUGUUAGAGGAUCAGUAUCUCUCUCCUUUAUCUCUGUAGUGGAUGGUCUACUCUGUUAGAGGAUCGAUAUCUCUCUCUCCUUUAUCUCUGUAGUGGAUGGUCUACUCUGUUAGAGGAUCAGUAUCUCUCUCUCCUUUAUCUCUGUAGUGGAUGGGCUACUCUGUUAGAGGAUCAGUAUCUCUCUCUCCUUUAUCUCUGUAGUGGAUGUUCUACUCUGUUAGAGGAUCAGUAUCUCUCUCUCUCCUUUAUCUCUGUAGUGGAUGGUCUACUCUGUUAGAGGAUCAGUAUCUCUCUCUCCUUUAUCUCUGUAGUGGAUGGUCUACUCUGUUAGAGGAUCAUUAUCUCUCUCUCCUUUAUCUCUGUAGUGGAUG